UGAGGAGAUAGAAGAAGGGGGAAUCAGUAGAGAAGUAACCAAAUUACAAAGCUGAAGUAACACUCUUUGCAGAACUGUUCCAAGUGCCUUGGUCUUCCCACCUGCAGCCUCAGGGACAUAAAACCACAAGAAUAUGCUUAGUCAUCUAGACUAUUUGAGCCCUUAAGUGUUGCUUGAACAAGUUUUUUUUCCCCAGUGCAAGCCACUGUCCAGCAGUCCUGAUGGUGGGAAGUUCAAAUGGCUGUUGUACUCCUAAAUCAGCCCUGAGCAAUAUGA